AAGCAUAGACUCGUGUUGGGGGGAGUGCCGAGGAAGGGAGAUGCCGCCGCUUCCACGUCAGUGGACCGGUGAUUGUCUCUUGCUACUGUUGCUUAGCUUCCUCAAAAGUUCCCUCAACAUCUUGGCGCUCGAGAGGCGAGCCUCAAGGAUCUUGGAGUUAUCUUGCCUGGAGCUUCUCCUCUGACCUUCGGGUUGGGGUUGAGUCGCACCUGGUAGGAGUCACGGCUCUGAGAUGUUGCCACAAAGUACGUGGUUGAGGCAGAAGCAGCCCCGUCAACGGGUCAAAUUAGAUCAAGCAGGACGCUUUGACUUUGAAUUCUCUUGCUUACUUCUGUGAGUGGGAUUGAGUUCGGUCGUCAAUUUAGUCGCCCUGUAGCAGUAUAUUCCUGGACGCUAUGAAGACCUUAUGGGUCAUUUAUCAUUUGGGUAAAACCAUACUGCAUACAUUU
rnacentral:snoRNA from 1 species